rnacentral:rRNA from 1 species
UACGUAGGGGGCAAGCGUUGUCCGGAUUUAUUGGGCGUAAAGAGCGUGUAGGCGGCCAGGUAGGUCUGCUGUGAAAACUCGAGGCUUAACCUCGAGCUGUCGGCGGAAACCAUCUGGCUAGAGUCCGGAAGAGGAGAAUGGAAUUCCCGGUGUAGCGGUGAAAUGCGCAGAUAUCGGGAGGAACACCCAUGGCGAAGGCAGCAAACUGGUCAUCAACUGACGCUGAGGCGCGAAAGCGUGGGGAGCAAACGGG